rnacentral:rRNA from 1 species
GGAGGUCGGGCGAGAGGAGAGAAGCAGGGCGGGGCGGAGAGAGAGAGGGAGGGCACGGACGGAGGGUCGGGGGGCAGCGGCGGCAACGAGAGAGAGGGAGGGCACGGGCGGAGGGACGGGGGGGGCGGCGGCGGCGAACGAGCCCGUGGGUAGGUGCUGGAGCGCGGCGGGGAGAGGAGAAGGAGGGCGGAGUGGAGAGAGAGAGGAAGGUUUGGGAUCUGGCGGAGGAACGGGACAGCGGCAGCCUAGUAGAGGAAGAGGUGGGGAGAGUGACUGCUCCUCGACCGCGAGCCCCUCCUGCUCCUCUACCGGCGGAGGACCCUCGUCGUCCUCCUCCUCCCCGUACGCCGCGGCCGCUGAUUCUUCCGGUCCUUGCACCGGUGGCCGCUGUUCCUCGGGCUCAAGGAACCGCUCGGCAGGGGCGAGUCGGCUGGUUCUUCCGGUCCUUGCACCAGGGAAGGUAGGUAGGAGGAAGAGUGCCGGCAAGGAGGACCGGCCCUACUAAAGUACCAGCACAACGUCAACCAAGGUCAAGACUGGCGUGCGGAGCGUAGGCGGCAGACAGCAGGUGGCAAACGAGCCAACGGCGGUACCUUUUCAAUUAAGAAGAAGAAAAAAAACAGGAAGGUCAAAAGGACGACUACACGUGGAUAUGUACUCGUUAACUAAAAGAGAUUUUUUAUGUACUACAACAAGGUAAGCGAAAGAGAUUAACUACACCAACUCGUUAACUAAAAGAGAUUUUUAUGUACUACAAGAAGGUAAGCGAAAGACCAGACUAGGAUUUAUAGUACACAUAGUUUGAUUAGUAACUAUGACGUUGACUUCGAUCGAGAAUACCUCUAUCUCUUAAUGAUGUGACGACAGACGUACGCACACUUCGAGAAUACCUCUAUUAAUGAAUGUAUGGUUUUGGUAUAUACUCAGGCGACAAAUAAUAACAAGUGGUCUUUACUACUAUUUAAACCAUUAAUUGAUCACAGAUAAUUCACAAUUGAAAUAGUUUUUUUAUAACACACAAGGCCCGGAUACUCAGAAACAAAACAAACAAAAGGUCUCGUGUGUCAUUUAUUUUGUCUCGUGUUUCGUCAUCGGAAACCUCGUCCAAUGUCAAAGAUGAACCUUAAUUUCCUAAACCUCGUCCGAUGUAGACACUACUGUGUCUAACCAAUACGUACUAGAGAAUCAUUACUUUGAGAAAGGAACGGACAUAGAUUAGAACAUACAAGUUAAGAAAAAGGAAAACUCACCUAAAGAUAUACCUUAUGGUAGAUAAAGAUUACUUAAAAAUACAACGAACGACGGGAAAAAUUAAUCUAUCUAGGUUAUUAAUAUGGUUACUUAUCUAGAAAAAACACUGACUAUAUACUAAGUUACUAUAUUUACGAUAUAUAAAACAUAGGCUAUACGUUCCAAUGGACUUAGAGGAGCGUAUAAAAAAAACUUCCUUCUCACUUGCGUCAGGACUUACGUCAGUUAUCCGCGUGAGGUAAAUCUUGUUACCUUCGUAGUAAUUUAAUUGAACCAACUGUCUACCAAGUUCGACGAGCAGCAGAUUACCUUUCGAACCGGAUUAUUUUUAUAGACCCUCCAUCGAUACCAUCAGAGUAACAUUAAAGAUGAGAUGGUAGUUCCAAGAGGUACUACUAACUCUACUGGCACUGAUGAAAUGUUCGAAAACCUUCGACACUGUCUUCCGUACCUUUGGUACUAUUCAGUUUCGUAUAUUUGGAGUUUUAAUACGUCGACUAGUAUAGUAUAACGGUGACCUUACUUUAACAGAUAAGAUUUCACAAGAUGUGAGUUCGAUAGUAGACGUGAAGUAAAUAAAAUUAGUAAGGAGUGGUCUUGAUGAAAUAAUCAUCACUUUCCGUAGUGCAUUAAAUAAGUAGCGGUUUUUUAUAAUAGUACGAGGGUUAAAUCGACCGUUAACCACGUGUACAGACGGUCCUGAUUCCCUUAGUUCUUUGUUAGGAAGUCGAUGAUUAAUACCAGCAAAAAAUAUUGUCGAAUAGAUCGAUGGAUAAACAUCAUUUCAAGCCGAUGUAUUAAGAGAAGCAGGUAAUCAAUCAGGAACCAGGAGGACCGAUGACAACUUACUAACAAUAAAAAAAUCGAGUGGAAGCAUACGAGGAUAACGAGUUCGCACUCAAAACAGGGUGUUCCAAUUACGGUGAAGGUUAAAAAAUAUAUAAAGAUAAAAUGAACGUCGGUAACAGCACGAAUGAGGUGUCAACAUCUUUUUAAAGGAACCAAGGUUCAAGACUUAUGCGCAAUUAGGUAGUAGAUAAAAACUGGGACAUCUACUUAAAUAAGGGUCUACAAAUACGUCCCUUCCUCCUCCGUAUGGUAACUAUCAAACUUAGUUUGGUCAUCUCCUGUGGUGGCAGCCAAUACCACAGCUCACUGCCUUGACGUCACUAGACCGUCACACCGACAACUGGAGGAAUUGUAGUAAGUGUAAGCAGCGAGAUUUGGGUGAGUCGUCUGUUCGAUUUAGGAAGACGAAAUAGUGCUCCUGUUGUUAUCACGAGUACACUCGAACUUGACACCACUUACGCUGACUACAAAGUUGGCGUAUGUUUCUACUUCAAGAAAAACAAAGAGCUCAUUAUAAUAGCAUAUAUCCGCACUACGGAGACGUCUCCGCAAAACCUAGUUAUGGAAUAGAAAUAACAUUUAAUACACACUAGUGGCGAUACUCUGUGGAAACCUACCUAAAUAAUGAGGUAUCAAUAACAUUUAAUACUUGUUUAAUACGACAUCAAGGUCACAAUCAAUAGACUAGAUGAUUUAUACGGAUACAAUAGGACAUCAUUACGUAUACGAUGUGGCCCUAAGGAUUAUUGAAUGGUAAUAGAAGAACUGGUUUUACUACCCUGGCCGUGGGAGCGCGGUUCCGCGCUAGGGCUAGAUCAUGUCGUUGUAACCGUCCCCGGCCCGCGUUGAUGCCAACGUCCAAAUACCCGUUUUUAAUCACGAGAAUGUUUCCCAGAGUGUGCCACCCUUUUUAGAUGGAAACCAUUACAAUUUCGACUCUAAUUUGCGAACUUACACCUUGAACCUUCCGAAGUUCGCCUAGGAUCAGCCUGACUCGGCUGGGCUUAACUUCAAUUCUAAUUUCUGGCGAACCAGCUUGAAAUAGUGUCCCUUCUUCAUUACACCGCAGUCUCCCGCGCGUAAUGUACCGAUCGUCGCCCUCUAUUCUCGUGAUUUAAGAAGGUGGACGUGCGAUCGUCUGAUGCAGAAUUCUUAUUUUAAUUCCGAGAGUACUUCCUCCUACCGUGGUGUUGUCUACUACGUCUACUCUACCCCUUAAACCAAUGUCGAGAGAUAGCCCUGGAGAAGUGAAGUCUCCCAUGUAGUUUGUACCUCUCCCACUAACUAUGACAGGGAACGUUUCACUGGCUCCUCUACUUAUUUUUAACU